rnacentral:rRNA from 1 species
GACGAACGCUGGCGGCGUGCCUAAUACAUGCAAGUAGAACGCACAGUUUAUACCGUAGCUUGCUACACAAUAGACUGUGAGUUGCGAACGGGUGAGUAACGCGUAGGUAACCUGCCUGGUAGCGGGGGAUAACUAUUGGAAACGAUAGCUAAUACCGCAUAAUAUUAAUUAUUGCAUGAUAAUUAAUUGAAAGGUGCAAUUGCACCACUACCAGAUGGACCUGCGUUGUAUUAGCUAGUAGGUGAGGUAACGGCUCACCUAGGCGACGAUACAUAGCCGAACUGAGAAGGUGAUCGGCCACACUGGGAAUGGGACACGGCCCAGACUCCUACGGGAGGCAGCAGUAGGGAAUCUUCGGCAAUGGACGAAAGUCUGACCGAGCAACGCCGCGUGAGUGAAGAAGGGUUUCGGAUCGUAAAGCUCUGUUGUAAGAGAAGAACGGGUGUGAGAGUGGAAAGUUCACACUGUGACGGUAUCUUACCAGAAAGGGACGGCUAACUACGUG